GCUUCGAUGGUUUAGUGGUAGAAUUUCACCUUCCCAAGGUGGAGGCACGGGUUGUAGGUUGCUCACCUGAUUCUCGUAAAUUUCCGCAUCAUACUUAUCAAUGUUGCAGCGAUUCCCGUUCGAAGCA
rnacentral:tRNA from 1 species